rnacentral:lncRNA from 1 species
CUUUUGGGGCGAUAAAAAGAUCGAGGGAAUUAGAAUUUUUUAUUUUCUUUCAGAAAAAACGGUCGGUAGGUAUACAAAUUAUUUUUUUUCCCACAUCAGCUUUAAAAACUUUUGAGUCGGGGGUCUGAAGGACGGUAGGUCGGGUGACCGGAAACACAACAUUUUUUUUUUAGGCCUAAGUUUGAUUUCAACACGUUUUCGUUAUUACUCAUAGUGUAAUGAAAGUUUUUAAUGUGGCAGAACUGAUGUAUUCAACUUUAUAUUCAGGC